rnacentral:tRNA from 1 species
GCAUCAGUGGUCUAACGGUUAUGAUCCGGUCUUCCCAUAUUGCAGAAUGCAAAUUCUUCCAUGGCCGGGAAAGGGGUUCGACUCCCCUCUGAUGCA